AACCGGGUUGCAUUAUAGGUGACGAGUUCAGGGGACCGCAGUCAGGGAAUGUAUUUAAAAAUAUAUAUAUAUUUACAUUCAUUGACCUCAGUUAUCCUAAAUAGCGGUUGUGACUAGAUGGGAGUACAGCUGCGACCGGAAGUGACUUUUCGUAGCAGGUUAAGAUGCCGUUUUAGCUAGCCCUAACCCCAUAUCAUAAUUACCCUAACAUACUACAUACAUUUUCCUAACCUGGUACGAAAUAGUCUCUCCUGGUCGUAACUGUAUACCGCCUAGUCAAAACUCUAAAUAGCCAUUUUCUACAUGUAGGCAGUUUUAUUUUGGAGGUAGAACAGUGUUCUACAAGCUAUAAUGAAUGAGAGUGAUCCAAAAUAUUUUUCAAGGAGCAGAUGCCCCAAAACUAACCUUUUUCUGUAAAUGACAUGACAAUUCAAUAAGUGGAAUCAUUGCCACUGUGUGCCAACCUGCCACGAUGGUGCCCUUGCUGAGUGUAAUUGCCAAACAUCGGUCUCUUUCUGUUGUCUGUAGGUACAUGGGAUUGGAUGAGUGACUCACCUCAACUCCCACCAUGUGAGUGUGCUGUCUGCUAUCACUCCUAGUUUGGCCCGGGUGGCAGGCUUCACCUGCUCCGCUGCAGGUCGGUAGUUCAGGGGGGUGCUGGACGAGCACCUAGCCAUGCUGUACUUUCCGGAGGGGAACAAGGAGCUGGCUGUGAAGGGGGCUGUACCACUGGAGCCUACCCUCCUCCUUCCAGCUACUGAAGGAUCUGGUGGCAGACGGGAAGGGACUUUUCCAUCUUGUUCCUUAACUUUUGGCUGAGACCUUCCUCGCGUGCUGUCUUCUGCGUCCCGUGCCCUCACCCAGAGCUCCCACCCACUGUUCCCCCGAACUCCCAGCCCUUAAGGAUACUCUAAAGCAGAGUUUGAUCCGCUGUAGUAAGAAGGGGGUGGUUCUGACCAGUCCAGAUCCGGGGCACCAUUCCAAAAGGCUUGAAGUCUUAUCACACUAAUGGGGGUGCCCUAGUUUGCUGGCAAGCUCCUACAUCUUUGAAUCAUCAUCAGGUUGGCCAGGAACACCUACACUCCUUCCUGGGAGGAAAGCUUCGGUGCCGGGACCCCUUCGACCAGGAAGUCACAGCACAUAUUCAUAGAUGACAGCAUCCUGCAGAAUGAUGAGGACAUUGUUGCCCAUCCAAAGGUGUUCCUGGACUGAGACGGCUCAGAGACCUGCAUAUAGCCUCCACCUCACAGCUGUAUGACCUACGUCUGGUCCAGAACGACCGUUCCGAGCCAUCUCAGACCUAGUGUAUUUCAGCCAGUUAUGACAGGAACCUCCAACAUGGGGCAGGCUAGAGUGGUGUGUCUGCAGCCUAUAGCUCCAGGAGUGGCUGCGGUUCUGGAUUUUCUGGAACACAGGAGUUUUGGACUUUUUCUGUUUUGGAUACAGAGAUUUCUGCACAUGUGUAAGAUCCGCUGUGUGCCCUACCCCUCCCCGAGUCCUUCCAGCUGCUGCUCUGUGAUCACUCACUCACCCCAUGACUCCGCUGCGUGCCCUACCCCUCCCCGAGUCCUUCCAGCUGCUGCUCUGUGAUCACUCACUCACCCCAUGACUCCGCUGCCACUUGUUCAAGCAAAUGUAGUUCUUUGUCUUUUGUAACAGAAGUCAAACAUAAGCACGACGUAACAGGCAGUCUAGCGUUUUCAUGUUCUUUUGAGUUAGCCUACUAGAUGUACACAACAUAUCAGCAAGCAAGACACGAACACACAGUCCAUAGCGAUGUAAUGUGCAAACACAUUGGGAAGCAGAGUUCUCAGGGUGUGUACAGAUUUUGGGCUGGGUAAAACCCCUCGCCUCAUCCUUUUUGGUAAAGCGUAUAUAGUAAAAAGAGAACACUUGCAGAAUGUGAUUUGGAUCCUUAGCUUUGUGAAAGAAGUUCCCGGAGGGGCGGGGCGGGGGCGAAGACUCAGUAUUCGUAACCUCGGACAUAAUUUAAUGCAGGGUGUAGGGUCAGAAAUGCACUUAUAAUAAUUGUCAUGAUGUUGACUUCAGGGACUUGGAGAGAGAAAACAGCUUGACGAACAUUCCUGUCUGGAAAAUAGUUAGUUAGUAAUAACAUCGUAUUAAAUAGUUGAUACACUACAUGUGACAGGACACUUGCAAUCUGAAAUGACCUUCUAGUGGAGUUGACUGUGUGGUUACUGGACAGUAUACAGUGGUCCUAUCUCUGCAGUGCAGACUGACCAGGCUGGGCACAUCCAAUCAACACCUCUGAUCUCCAGCACAAUGUGUACAGAGUUGGUUAAUCUGAUGUACUGGCCAUAGUUGUUUGCUGAAGCAGACGCUGAUUGCAGAAGCAGACGCUGUGUCCUCUCAUUACAAGCCAAACGAUGAGGCACAGUGUGUACAGUAGGAAGACUCUUCACUCACUGUUCACCAGAUAGUGUGUGUUCAGUGUGUAAUGGUCUGUACAUAAUACCAAGUACUAUUUCACUCUGACUUCCAGGUACAGGUCUCUAGGGGAAUAAUACAACGUGUUGUAGUCCUUGUCAGAUCUACUUUAUAUAUAUGAAGCCUCAAUGGCUUGAUUGUCUCUAAUCACACACAUUAAUAUGUUUUACCCUUCCACAAAUAAAAUAUUUGUAUCUUU